GUCUCUGAAUAAAAAGGCAAAAUUUGCCCAGAGACAUGUACAGAGGGAAGACUAUGUAAAGGGACAUUGGUAGAAGAUGGCGUCUAUAAGCCAAGGAGGGAGGCCUGGGGCAGAUCCUUUCCUCAUGGCCUUCAUAAGGGAGCAACCUGUGGACCUCUUUCUUGGUCACAGACUCCCAACCUUCUGAACUGGGAGCCAGGGUCUGCUAAGUUUUGCCAAGGCUGGCCUGAAACUUCUGAUCCUUUUGCCUUCGCCUCCUAAAUAGCUGGGAAUACAGGUCUGAAUCCAGUUAUUCAGCAAAAAGCAGCAUGAGAUCACCUUCUAACACCUCUCCAGCUCCUUUGGGGUAGGUGAAAAGGGUUUUCCGUGGUGGGGCAAGGUCUGAGACACUGAAACCUGAUGCAGUAAC